GGUUAAGCGACUAAGCGUACACGGUGGAUGCCCUGGCAGUCAGAGGCGAUGAAGGACGUGCUAAUCUGCGAUAAGCGUCGGUAAGGUGAUAUGAACCGUUAUAACCGGCGAUUUCCGAAUGGGGAAACCCAGUGUGUUUCGACACACUAUCAUUAACUGAAUCCAUAGGUUAAUGAGGCGAACCGGGGGAACUGAAACAUCUAAGUACCCCGAGGAAAAGAAAUCAACCGAGAUUCCCCCAGUAGCGGCGAGCGAACGGGGAGGAGCCCAGAGCCUGAAUCAGUGUGUGUGUUAGUGGAAGCGUCUGGAAAGGCGCGCGAUACAGGGUGACAGCCCCGUACACAAAAAUGCACAUGCUGUGAGCUCGAUGAGUAGGGCGGGACACGUGGUAUCCUGUCUGAAUAUGGGGGGACCAUCCUCCAAGGCUAAAUACUCCUGACUGACCGAUAGUGAACCAGUACCGUGAGGGAAAGGCGAAAAGAACCCCGGCGAGGGGAGUGAAAAAGAACCUGAAACCGUGUACGUACAAGCAGUGGGAGCCUCUUAAUGGGGUGACUGCGUACCUUUUGUAUAAUGGGUCAGCGACUUAUAUUCUGUAGCAAGGUUAACCGAAUAGGGGAGCCGAAGGGAAACCGAGUCUUAACUGGGCGUUAAGUUGCAGGGUAUAGACCCGAAACCCGGUGAUCUAGCCAUGGGCAGGUUGAAGGUUGGGUAACACUAACUGGAGGACCGAACCGACUAAUGUUGAAAAAUUAGCGGAUGACUUGUGGCUGGGGGUGAAAGGCCAAUCAAACCGGGAGAUAGCUGGUUCUCCCCGAAAGCUAUUUAGGUAGCGCCUCGUGAAUUCAUCUCCGGGGGUAGAGCACUGUUUCGGCAAGGGGGUCAUCCCGACUUACCAACCCGAUGCAAACUGCGAAUACCGGAGAAUGUUAUCACGGGAGACACACGGCGGGUGCUAACGUCCGUCGUGAAGAGGGAAACAACCCAGACCGCCAGCUAAGGUCCCAAAGUCAUGGUUAAGUGGGAAACGAUGUGGGAAGGCCCAGACAGCCAGGAUGUUGGCUUAGAAGCAGCCAUCAUUUAAAGAAAGCGUAAUAGCUCACUGGUCGAGUCGGCCUGCGCGGAAGAUGUAACGGGGCUAAACCAUGCACCGAAGCUGCGGCAGCGACACUAUGUGUUGUUGGGUAGGGGAGCGUUCUGUAAGCCUGUGAAGGUGUACUGUGAGGUAUGCUGGAGGUAUCAGAAGUGCGAAUGCUGACAUAAGUAACGAUAAAGCGGGUGAAAAGCCCGCUCGCCGGAAGACCAAGGGUUCCUGUCCAACGUUAAUCGGGGCAGGGUGAGUCGACCCCUAAGGCGAGGCCGAAAGGCGUAGUCGAUGGGAAACAGGUUAAUAUUCCUGUACUUGGUGUUACUGCGAAGGGGGGACGGAGAAGGCUAUGUUGGCCGGGCGACGGUUGUCCCGGUUUAAGCGUGUAGGCUGGUUUUCCAGGCAAAUCCGGAAAAUCAAGGCUGAGGCGUGAUGACGAGGCACUACGGUGCUGAAGCAACAAAUGCCCUGCUUCCAGGAAAAGCCUCUAAGCAUCAGGUAACAUCAAAUCGUACCCCAAACCGACACAGGUGGUCAGGUAGAGAAUACCAAGGCGCUUGAGAGAACUCGGGUGAAGGAACUAGGCAAAAUGGUGCCGUAACUUCGGGAGAAGGCACGCUGAUAUGUAGGUGAAGUCCCUCGCGGAUGGAGCUGAAAUCAGUCGAAGAUACCAGCUGGCUGCAACUGUUUAUUAAAAACACAGCACUGUGCAAACACGAAAGUGGACGUAUACGGUGUGACGCCUGCCCGGUGCCGGAAGGUUAAUUGAUGGGGUUAGCGGUAACGCGAAGCUCUUGAUCGAAGCCCCGGUAAACGGCGGCCGUAACUAUAACGGUCCUAAGGUAGCGAAAUUCCUUGUCGGGUAAGUUCCGACCUGCACGAAUGGCGUAAUGAUGGCCAGGCUGUCUCCACCCGAGACUCAGUGAAAUUGAACUCGCUGUGAAGAUGCAGUGUACCCGCGGCAAGACGGAAAGACCCCGUGAACCUUUACUAUAGCUUGACACUGAACAUUGAGCCUUGAUGUGUAGGAUAGGUGGGAGGCUUUGAAGUGUGGACGCCAGUCUGCAUGGAGCCGGCCUUGAAAUACCACCCUUUAAUGUUUGAUGUUCUAACGUUGGCCCCUGAUCGGGGUUGCGGACAGUGUCUGGUGGGUAGUUUGACUGGGGCGGUCUCCUCCUAAAGAGUAACGGAGGAGCACGAAGGUUGGCUAAUCCUGGUCGGACAUCAGGAGGUUAGUGCAAUGGCAUAAGCCAGCUUGACUGCGAGCGUGACGGCGCGAGCAGGUGCGAAAGCAGGUCAUAGUGAUCCGGUGGUUCUGAAUGGAAGGGCCAUCGCUCAACGGAUAAAAGGUACUCCGGGGAUAACAGGCUGAUACCGCCCAAGAGUUCAUAUCGACGGCGGUGUUUGGCACCUCGAUGUCGGCUCAUCACAUCCUGGGGCUGAAGUAGGUCCCAAGGGUAUGGCUGUUCGCCAUUUAAAGUGGUACGCGAGCUGGGUUUAGAACGUCGUGAGACAGUUCGGUCCCUAUCUGCCGUGGGCGCUGGAGAACUGAGGGGGGCUGCUCCUAGUACGAGAGGACCGGAGUGGACGCAUCACUGGUGUUCGGGUUGUCAUGCCAAUGGCACUGCCCGGUAGCUAAAUGCGGAAGAGAUAAGUGCUGAAAGCAUCUAAGCACGAAACUUGCCCCGAGAUGAGUUCUCCCUGACUCCUUGAGAGUCCUGAAGGAACGUUGAAGACGACGACGUUGAUAGGCCGGGUGUGUAAGCGCAGCGAUGCGUUGAGCUAACCGGUACUAAUGAACCGUGAGGCUUAACCUU
rnacentral:rRNA from 1 species